rnacentral:lncRNA from 1 species
AAUCCCCAGAUGGAGGGGAUUGUCGUCGAGUACUCCGGAGUGUCGUGCGACUAGGACCACUUGGAGGUCCGGACCACAUGGAGGUCCGCAGACGGUCCCGGGCUUGGGUGCACUUGGAGCUCCCUCCCCACUUUGGGAUUGAAAGGUGAGUUAUUGGCGAACCCUAGGGCUUCGCUUCAGAUUGGGUAAAAGAACAGUGAACAAUGCCAUUGAACAUUAUUAUUCGAACAUGGAUCGAAUUUGUUAGCAUGAUAGUAAACCUUUACUAUUUGAUGCAUGGUAUGAGUUUUAGUUGCAUCCCAGUUGAGUGGAUUUAGGGCCGAGGUGCAUGUGAGACAUCCUUCACCUUGAGCCUGGCUUUGUGCGGUAUUCCGCGUAUGAUUGACUCAAGAACUUUGUAACUAACUCUGAAACUCUUGACUUGUAACUGAAUUCAUUGCAAAUCUUGACGAAGUGUGUGGAGAUUGUUUUGCAGGGUAUUUCAAGACUUCGAGACUCCAUAUCGUGUCUUAAGUCAUAGAGUUUGUAUUAGGUUGUGACACAUGUAUUUUUGUUUUUAUUGGAUCGAUCAUGCAGAAAAUUAUUGUUUGGUGAUUGCAGUAAUCUUCUUAUUUUAUUUUUUGGAUGAGCAGUGUAAUAUUCUUGUAUUUUGUCACGAAAUCGCCAAAGGGGGAGAUUGUUAAGGAUUUUAUUAAGUUGGCGAUUUUCGUGGAGUUUUGGUCGGGGUCUCGAAGGUUCAGAAGACGAAGGUUGAAGUAAGAAUUGGAGUUUGACAAUCAAAGACCCUUGGGAUCUCAGGUAUGAUUAUGAAUAAUUUGUGGUGAGUUUUUAUUGUUAAAAGGUAUUUAGAAGACCGUGGAUUCGGUGGGCGUUUCGUGAAAUCAAGGCGUGUGCGGCUGCAAGGAGUUGCAGUGUGAUCGGUUCGAGGAUUCCAAGCGAUCGAGGACUGGCAAAGACAAUCUACAACGAGGAUUCGGUAUUUUGAGUCUUGUAUUUUUUGAUAAAUCACUUGUACUCAUGUUUUCUUAGUGGAUUUCUUUGUGUGAUCGGUCCCGUGGGUUUUUCUCUCUGAUUUGGAGUUUUCCUACGUUAAUUCUCGGUGUGCUAAUUUUAUUUUCCGCAUUUACAUUAUAUUCGCAUCGAGUUUAGUGUUUUUUUUUUUUCGUUUGCACCUAUUCACCCCCCUCUAGGUGUUUUCACCUUUUAGAUCCUCAGGAUCCAUAUCUGUCAGUUCGUGGU